rnacentral:rRNA from 1 species
GAUGAACGCUGGCGGCGUGCCUAAUACAUGCAAGUCGAGCGAACGGACGAGAAGCUUGCUUCUCUGAUGUUAGCGGCGGACGGGUGAGUAACACGUGGAUAACCUACCUAUAAGACUGGGAUAACUUCGGGAAACCGGAGCUAAUACCGGAUGAUAUUUUGAACCGCAUGGUUCAAAAGUGAAAGACGGUCUUGCUGUCACUUAUAGAUGGAUCCGCGCUGCGUUAGCUAGUUGGUAAGGUAACGGCUUACCAAGGCAACGAUGCAUAGCCGACCUGAGAGGGUGAUCGGCCACACUGGAACUGAGACACGGUCCAGACUCCUACGGGAGGCAGCAGUAGGGAAUCUUCCGCAACGGGCGAAAGCCUGACGGAGCAACGCCGCGUGAGUGAUGAAGGUCUUCGGAUCGUAAAACUCUGUUAUUAGGGAAGAACAUAUGUGUAAGUAACUGUGCACAUCUUGACGGUACCUAAUCAGAAAGCCACGGCUAACUACGUG